GGUCAGGUGUCCGAGUGGUCGAAGGAGGUCGCCUGGAAAGCGGCUGUACGGCAACGUACCGAGGGUUCGAAUCCCUCCCUGACCGCCA
rnacentral:tRNA from 1 species